UGUGAGGAGCCAACAGCAAGGGGGUUGGUCUGUGGGUGCAGCAAGGGGACGACAUUGCUAAGCAGGCUCCCGAAAGCACCAUGUUUCCAAGCUGCAGGUUGUCUUAGUCUUUGCUCUCAGCAUUGGUGCACUUGUAAUAUACUUCAUAGAUUCGUCAAACUCUUCCUGGCCAAGAAAGAGAAGAGCUUUUUAAGUUUGGAAAACUCCAACUGGUAUGUCAUUGAAGGUAAGCCUCAUUUAAAUAUCUCCUCUUCAGAAUUCUGGAUCAUAUUUGAAUUGAACCGAAUAUCCUCUAGAGCCGCUUGUCUUAUUUCUGCAUUUUCUCCCUCAGGGCUGAGGAGUGUUCUCAAAAGUCUUGGAGUGCACCCUGUGUCAGCUUCCGUGCCAGGGCUCAGGAAACAGUUUCAGGCUUGUAGUCUGUGAGCCCCAGGCAGGCAGACCCUUACGUGGAAGGGAAUGGGGUGAUCGGUCAGAAGGACCUUGGCGCCUUCUUUCCUUGUCUCUCCUUUUUGGCUCCUCUGUAUUUCUCAGAAAUAAAAUGCUCUUGUAAAAUUGAUUUGAACUGUGUCCUUUUUAACAGUGUCCACUGUGGAGUGGUCUUUGGCUCUGUUGGGUGUGUUGUUCUCAGCUCCAUGUGAAAGGAUAGAAGGGAAUAGAAUUCCCCAAGGCAAAGCCCUCUUUCCUGGAUGCCCCCUGCACCACCUCAGUCUCCUUUGGAUUUAGCUGUGAUUCUGCUGAGCCUGGGAAAGCCAGCCCUGGGAACCCU
rnacentral:lncRNA from 1 species